rnacentral:tRNA from 1 species
GGCUUGUGGUUCAGUGGUAGAAUACUCGUCUCCCAGGUGUGAGGCACUGGGUUCAAUCCUCAGCACCA